rnacentral:lncRNA from 1 species
GUUUCCGCUCAGGCAAAUGCGAGAGCGGCUAAAGGGCCUGGGACCCCGGGGCCCUGUUCGGACAGCCCCGCCGGCCCGGGAGUCCGCCACCCGGCAGCCUCGCGGCGGGGCCCCGGUGCACGGCAGUGUGCGGAGGGGCGGCCCGCCUCCGGCCGCCGCUAACCUGAGCCUCUGGCUGCUGUGUCGCUCUCCGACUCCGGCAUCGACGAGGUCGCCAUCCUCUCGCCCCGGUCGCGGAGGAACCCAUCGGCCUCCCUCGAACCGGAACUACUUCCGCCGCCGCCCCCCGGGGAAAGAGAGAUCUGCGGGGUUUCAGAAGGUCUCUCAGACGACUCAGAGCCGUCGUCGGGUCCAGGGGGACUCGAGAAGUUCACAUGCUGCCCUGUGUUAGGGCUGAGAUCUGGGAGAGUGUCUAGAAGAACAAAGGCAACAGAAAGGAAGAGUGACUUCAGGCCUGCUCAUGGCUGGGGAAAAACACUCCCAGAAGCCAUAUACUGAUGAGUGAAAAACCCAGUGUGAGGGUGGGCUACCUCUAUACAUUUCUGGACACGGAGUCCUCUGAAGCCUCCAAAACCAUAAAUACUGAUGUCAUGUACUAGAUAGGGUUGUUUUUUGUUUUGUUUUUUGUUUUUUGUCAACACAAGCUAAAAUCAUCUGAGAGGAGGGAACCUCAAUUAAAAUGCCUCCAUGACACUGGGCUGUACAAUAGCUUGUUGGGAAUUAACUAGUGAUUAAUGGGGGGAAGGCCCAGCCCAUUGUAUAUGGUGCUAUCCCUGGGCUGGUGGUCCUGGGUUCUAUCAGAAAGCAGAUUGAGCAAGCCAUGGGGAGCAAGCCAGUAAGCAGCAUCCCUCCAUGGCCUCUGCAUCAGCUCCUGACCCGUUUGAGUUCCUGUUCUGACAUGUAUGUAUGUAUUUAUGAGUACUCUGCCACAUGCCAGAAGGGGGCAAAGAUCCCCUUUUAGAUGGUUGCCAGCCACUGUGUGGUUGCUGAGAAUUGAACUCAGGACCCCUGAAGGAGCAGCCAGUGCUCCGCACUGCUGAGCCAACUCCCCAGGUUCUGCCCUGACUUUCUUUGAUAAUGAACAUCAAUGUGGUGUAAACCAAAUAAACUUUCUCCUCCC